rnacentral:rRNA from 1 species
UACGAAGGGGGCUAGCGUUGCUCGGAAUCACUGGGCGUAAAGCGCACGUAGGCGGCUUCUUAAGUCAGGGGUGAAAUCCUGGAGCUCAACUCCAGAACUGCCCUUGAUACUGAGGAGCUCGAGUCCGGAAGAGGUGAGUGGAACUCCGAGUGUAGAGGUGAAAUUCGUAGAUAUUCGGAAGAAACACCAGUGGCGAAGGCGGCUCACUGGUCCGGUACUGACGCUGAGGAGGCGAAAAGCGUGGGGAGCCGAAAGG